rnacentral:misc_RNA from 1 species
GGAAAAUGCAAAGCAACGCGUAAUACACGCAUUAGACAGUGAAUUAAAAAAAACCAACAUAUUGGAGCCUACAGAGCCGAGCCGUGUGACAGCUAUUUUUUGGCUCCCUUUUCUGCCCUCCCCUUAUUUAUAUAUCUUCCUCUUCCCUCACCAUUUCUCUUCAUCAUAUCAUCAAAAUUUUUAGAUAUCUUUCUUAUCUUUUAUUGUCUAUCCAACUUCCUUACAUGGCCGACUUCUCAAGGAACAGAACCUCCGUUGAUGCCUCUUCUGCCACGCAGCCCAGCCGUCUUCAGCGGCGGCGACCGGCGUCCUUGGAGAUAUACCCCCCUUCGUCUUCCUGCUGGAACGCCGCCAUUCCUCUUCUCUCUCCGCUUGUAUCUUCACCUACCACGAUUGAUCGGAUGGCGGAAAUGAAAUCGCGGGAGGACCAGCAGCAGCCGUCGCAGCUUCGGAAUCAGGAAACAGACAAGGAAAAGGGUGCUGCUGAUGUGUUCAAGAAGUGGCAGCACCCGGCAGCUCCUUUCUGCUGCGAGCCGCCUUCAUUUGCGCCUAAAUUUUUUGUGCCUGUAUAGAUAUCGAAUGGAAGGGGCUUUUAAUAUAAUUACAUUUUUAGGGGUUUUUUUAAAGAUUUUCUAACCGCUGAAAAUUUAACAAUUGCAUACAAUGCUUGUAUUUUAUGUUCAUAUACUUAAUGCUAACUAUUUCUUUU